UUUAAUUACUUAUAUUUCUUUCAACAGGUCACAGUGAGUUGUGUUGACUUGAGCACCCAGGAUGAACCUCAGGAUGAACCUCAGGAUGAACCUCAUACUAGUGUUGGUGUUGACGGUGGCGUUGCUGGGGCUGGCGUCAGGGAAGAUCAUCACCAGCAAGAGAGACUUCCCUGGGCAGAGGCGCCUAGGCAGGACCAACUACCGCUUACACAGCUUCGGCAGGACAGGCUUCAGCUCGCGUCCCGUUGCUAGGUUUGGCUGAGGAAGAAUUUUGCGUAUAAGGUUCUUAAGAUUAAGAAGCUAUAAGAUGAAAUGUAUGAGGGAGCCCAGUCGUCUGCUGGACACUUGUUCUCUCAUCAUCCACUGGCACCGACAGUGUCUAGUAAUUUUAGCAACCUUUAUAUCUGUUACGGUCUAAGUCUACAUUGCUUCCAGUUAUAUCAAAUGCAAUAACUUUCCCAUCUCUCUCUCGGCAAAUUUUCAACAUUCAUAUUUUCUUCUCUAGUUAAAAUAACACGUUCAUAUCUCUGCACGUGUAUUUCCCUGCCCUUGUAUGUUUAUGUAUGUGUAUUUCUCAGUACUUGUAUUUUCCUGUACGUGUAUUUAUCUGUACGUGCACAUCUGUGUAUCACCUUUAACCAAUCAUUGUAUAAUAGCUGGCAUUUUUGUUCAAUUUACUUGCCAUUUCUUUGUUUUUGUCAUAUUUAAUACAUUUGUAAUAUACAAUAUACGUCUUUGUGUAAGUCGUUAUAUGACUAUUGUUCUUAUGUGUACAUAUUUCUAAAAU